AAUGAACGCUGGCGGCAGGCCUAACACAUGCAAGUCGAACGGAUCCUUCGGGAUUAGUGGCGGACGGGUGAGUAACGCGUGGGAACAUACCCUUUGGUACGGAAUAGCCUCGGGAAACUGGGAGUAAUACCGUAUGUGGUCGAGAGACGAAAGAUUUAUCGCCAAAGGAUUGGCCCGCGUUGGCUUAGGUAGUUGGUGGGGUAAUGGCCUAACAAGCCGACGAUCCAUAGCUGUUUUGAGAGGAUGAGCAGCCACACUGGGACUGAGACACGACCCAGACUCCUACGGGAGGCAGCAGUGGGGAAUCUUAGACAAUGGGGGAAACCCUGAUCUAGCCAUGCCGCGUGAUCGAUGAAGGCCUUAGGGUUGUAAAGAUCUUUCAGGUGGGAAGAUAAUGACUGUACCACCAGAAGAAGCCCCGGCUAACUCCGUGCCAGCCGCCGCAGUAA
rnacentral:rRNA from 1 species